rnacentral:misc_RNA from 1 species
AGAAAAGAAAAGAAGAGAAGAGAAUGUUGUCGUCCACAUUUUAGAGUCCAUUUAUGCGAAGAACAUUAGCAAAUUCUAAAACGAUGACAAUAAAACAAGAAAGAGAUCAAGUUUGACUAAUAAAUAAAAGACUAAAAUAUGACAAUGAACUGGAAUCAGUUUUAGUAAUAGUUCUUGGUAAUGCAAGAAGAAAUGCUUUACAGUCCAUGUUGGUUGGUGCCUUGGAUCUAAUUCAGAUACUCUCGUAAAUAACACUCGUGCAAGAUUUGUAGCAGAGUACUAUUAAAAAAAAAUAUUUAGUAUCUCUUUUAUUUUUCCCACACUUUUGUAGCUAACAAACAACUUUGAGA